GGGGUUGUGGCUCAGGGGUAGAGUGCUCAACUAGCAUAUCUGAGUACCUGGGUUUGAUCCUCAGCACCACA
rnacentral:tRNA from 1 species